CGAGACAGCUCAUUUUGUCAUUGGGCUUGUAGAAGAAUGGAUGGAUUUAAUGGCUGCAUUUUAUGGGUUGCUUGCUGUGUUGUAGGCAUGGAGAUGCUUAGUUUAUGAUCGGCAUGUAGACAUGUAACAAACUUGUAGCUAAACAUGGUAAUUUCUUCUAACUAAAUCUGAUUUAGCAUGCUAUAUAGGACAAGAUUAUUCCAGUAAAUAUAACAAAAAUAAAUGAAGCUUUUUUUUUUUAAGUAUUAAUAGCCAUUCACCAUUAGUUUUAAUUAGCCAGGGAAAAAAAAUAAAACUCCACAAUUAGGUAUGACUUUUCACUCUUGACGACCGAGAAGGCUGGGCCUUUACUAUUAGUUGUAAUAAUAGCCGGUCUCUCUUCCUUCCCUUCCUGCCUUUCUUCCUACUUUCCUUCAGGACACAGCCUUCUGGUCUUGAACUCUUGAUCCACUUGUCUGAGGCUCUCUAAUGCUAGGGUCAUAGGAGUGGGCCACCAAGCUGCUUUAGCUGACCUAUCUCCCAUUUACUGUUUUGUGACUAAAAGUAGACUAGUUAACUGGAUGUUACCAGUCUUAAUAAGCAUUUAGGUUUGAGGCCAACCUAGCCUCACUCAGCAGAGUGAACUCAGUGCCCUUUCUC
rnacentral:lncRNA from 1 species